rnacentral:rRNA from 1 species
GGAGGAGGCAAGCGUUGUUCGGAAUUACUGGGCUUAAAGCGUGCGUAGGCGGGAUGGCAGGUGUCGUGUGAAAGCCCUCGGCUCAACCGAGGAAUUGUUCGGCAAACCGUCAUUCUUGAGGCCAGCAGGGGAACCUGGAACUUUGGGUGGAGCGGUGAAAUGCGUAGAUAUCCAAGGGAACGCCGGUGGCGAAAGCGGGGUUCUGGGCUGGUUCUGACGCUGAGGCACGAAAGCGUGGGUAGCAAACAGGAUUAGAUACCCUGGGUAGUCCACGCUGUAAACGAUGCGCACUAGGUAUCAGCGCCCUCUGACGGGGUUGGUGCCCGCAGCGAAAGCAUUAAGUGCGCCGCCUGGGGAGUACGGCCGCAAGGCUA